GACGAACGCUGGCGGCGUGCUUAACACAUGCAAGUCGAACGGAAAGGCCCUGCUUUUGUGGGGUGCUCGAGUGGCGAACGGGUGAGUAACACGUGAGUAACCUGCCCUUGACUUUGGGAUAACUUCAGGAAACUGGGGCUAAUACCGGAUAGGAGCUCCUGCUGCGUGGUGGGGGUUGGAAAGUUUCGGCGGUUGGGGAUGGACUCGCGGCUUAUCAGCUUGUUGGUGGGGUAGUGGCUUACCAAGGCUUUGACGGGUAGCCGGCCUGAGAGGGCGACCGGCCACAUUGGGACUGAGAUACGGCCCAGACUCCUACGGGAGGCAGCAGUGGGGAAUAUUGCACAAUGGGCGGAAGCCUGAUGCAGCAACGCCGCGUGCGGGAUGACGGCCUUCGGGUUGUAAACCGCUUUCGCCUGUGACGAAGCGUGAGUGACGGUAAUGGGUAAAGAAGCACCGGCUAACUACGUG
rnacentral:rRNA from 1 species